UUUCCGGGAUUCAGUGCCGCAGCUAACGCAUUAAGCACUCCGCCUGGGGAGUACGACCGCAAGGUUGAAACUCAAAGGAAUUGACGGGGGCCCGCACAAGCGGUGGAGCAUGUGGUUUAAUUCGAAGCAACGCGAAGAACCUUACCAGGUCUUGACAUCCCGAUGCUAUUUCUAGAGAUAGAAAGUUACUUCGGUACAUCGGUGACAGGUGGUGCAUGGUUGUCGUCAGCUCGUGUCGUGAGAUGUUGGGUUANNNNNNNNNNNNGAGCGCAACCCCUAUUGUUAGUUGCCAUCAUUCAGUUGGGCACUCUAGCGAGACUGCCGGUAAUAAACCGGAGGAAGGUGGGGAUGACGUCAAAUCAUCAUGCCCCUUAUGACCUGGGCUACACACGUGCUACAAUGGUUGGUACAACGAGUUGCGAGUCGGUGACGGCAAGCUAAUCUCUUAAUGCCAGUCUCAGUUCGGAUUGUAGGCUGCAACUCG
rnacentral:rRNA from 1 species